rnacentral:rRNA from 1 species
GACGAACCGUGCGAACGUUGUUCGGAAUCACUGGGCUUAAAGGGCGCGUAGGCGGCCCGCCCAGUCCGAGGUGAAAGCCCCCGGCUCAACCGGGGAAGGGCCUUGGAUACUGGCGGGCUCGAGGGGGAUAGGGGCGGACGGAACUUCCGGUGGAGCGGUGAAAUGCGUUGAUAUCGGAAGGAACGCCGGUGGCGAAAGCGGUCCGCUGGGUCCCCACUGACGCUGAGGCGCGAAAGCCAGGGGAGCAAACGGG